rnacentral:rRNA from 1 species
GAUCCUGGCUCAGGACGAACGCUGGCGGCGCGCCUAACACAUGCAAGUCGAACGAGAGAAGAAGAGCUUGCUUUUCUGAUCGAGUGGCGAACGGGUGAGUAACGCGUGAGGAACCUGCCUCAAAGAGGGGGACAACAGUUGGAAACGACUGCUAAUACCGCAUAAGCCCACGGCUCGGCAUCGAGCAGAGGGAAAAGGAGCAAUCCGCUUUGAGACGCGC